UACGUAGGGUGCAAGCGUUGUCCGGAAUUAUUGGGCGUAAAGAGCUCGUAGGCGGUUCGUCGCGUCGGCUGUGAAAACCCGGAGCUCGACUCCGGGCCUGUAGUCGAUACGGCGGGACGUUGAGUUCGGCAGGGGAGACUGGAAUUCCUGGUGUAGCGGUGAAAUGCGCAGAUAUCAGGAGGAACACCGAUGGCGAAGGCAGGUCUCUGGGCCACUACUGACGCUGAGAAGCGAAAGCAUGGGGAGCGAACAGG
rnacentral:rRNA from 1 species